GAUGAACGCUGGCGGCGUGCUUAACACAUGCAAGUCGAACGAAGCAUUUAGAACGGGUUACUUCGGUUUGAAGUUCUUUAUGACUGAGUGGCGGACGGGUGAGUAACGCGUGGGUAACCUGCCUUUUACUGGGGGAUAGCAGCUGGAAACGGCUGGUAAUACCGCAUAAGCGCACAAUGUUGCAUGACCCGGUGUGAAAAACUCCGGUGGUAUAAGAUGGACCCCCGUCUGAUUAGCUAGUUGGUGAGAUAACAGCCCACCAAGGCGACGAUCAGUAGCCGCACUGAGAGUGUGACCGGCCACAUUGGGACUGAGACCCGUCCCAGACUCCUACGGGAGGCAGCAGUGGGGAAUAUUGCACAAUGGAGGAAACUCUGAUGCAGCGACGCCGCGUGAGUGAAGAAGUAAUUCGUUAUGUAAAGCUCUAUCAGCAGUGAAGAUAGUGACGGUACCUGACUAAGAAGCUCCGGCUAAAUACGUGCCAGCCGCCGCCGUAA
rnacentral:rRNA from 1 species